CAGGUUAAGUGUUACAUGUCUGUUGCUCUCAAGGACUACAUUACUUACAGUAAGGUCUACAAUGCAUUUGUACAUAGAACUUAUUUUCUUGAAAGCCAUAUAUAAAAAUUUACAAUAUCUGCAAACACUGAGGUUCAGAGAACUGUCUGUAUUCAUGGUAAGCCAUGCAUGGUACACAUUUAACUCUACCUAAUCAUCCAGGAUUAGUUCUCAUUGGCACAGCAGCACAGUCACUCUGGAAUCUGUCAUGAGUGACAUAGCCACAAGGUUUGGUGUUCCACUGAGCUGAGUCACAGACAGCAGCUUUUCCAAGUGGCAUAGUAUUUUUGUUCUUGUUCAUAUGUAGCUUCUUGCAAAGCAAAGAGUAAAUUCAAAUUUUUCAUCGGCUAUCACAUGCUUUCUGCUUUCUGUGUACUAUUUCACCCUGUUGCUGAUUGAUAAGCAAGACUUCAUAUCAAAGUUUUCUGCAGCAAACUGGACUUGCAGAGCUUUAGAUCCAUCUUUUUCUUUCUCUUUCAUUCUUCUCUAAUAUGUAACUUCUGUUGGUCUAUCUAGUUUAUAUAAAUAUUUAAAUCUUGAAUCUGUGCAAAUCAGACUUUAAACUACAGGCCCUAUAUUUCUGCAGAAAAAAGAUACAAUUGUUAAGAAUGCAUGGUCUUCCACACUUUUGACUGCUUCUCUCAAAUCUGAAUUGCUCAAUUCAGAAAACCAGAACAACUUCCACAGGUCCAAAGACCACUUUCAAUAGUGAAAGCUGAAGGAUAACCAGAGCAGAAGGUCGUGAAGGUCAUUACAUGUCAUGUAACCAUGAAGUGAAGACCUGAACCUCUCCCAGAUCUACUUUUUCACGCUGAGCAACUAAUCCUGAAGGGCAAUGUAUGACAAGAAAUGAGCAAUCAUCUCAUGAGCCAUCAGCACCGUUGCCAAGGCAUCCUAGUGGGUUGGUGAAAUCAUCUAAAUAUAAAUAUAUUUUGUCCCAAAAUUCUCUUUUUUCCCGUUUUAUCUCUGUAACAGUUUUGUCUGGUCUCCUGGUUUCAGCUGGGAUAGAGUUAAAUUUCUUCGUAGUAGCUAGUAUGGGGCCGUGUUUUGGAGAUUUGCUGGAAACAGCGGUGAUACUGCAGAGAUGUUUCAGUUGUUGCUAAGUAGCGCUUACACUGGUCAAGGACUUUUUCAGCUCCCCGUGCGCUGCCGGAUGCACAAGGGGCUGGGAGG